GCGAAUUGCUGAAUAUGGUCCU
rnacentral:siRNA from 1 species